rnacentral:rRNA from 1 species
GGGUAAAAGAUUUAUUGCCCCAAGAGGAGCUCGCGUCUGAUUAGCUAGUUGGUGAGGUAAAAGCUCACCAAGGCAGCGAUCAGUAGCUGGUCUGAGAGGACGAUCAGCCACACUGGGACUGAGACACGGCCCAGACUCCUACGGGAGGCAGCAGUGGGGAAUUUUCCGCAAUGGGCGAAAGCCUGACGGAGCAAGACCGCGUGAGGGAGGAAGGCUCUUGGGUUGUAAACCUCUUUUCUCAGGGAAGAAGCUCUGACGGUACCUGAGGAAUCAGCCUCGGCUAACUCCGUGCCAGCAGCCGCGGUAAUACGGAGGAGGCAAGCGUUAUCCGGAAUUAUUGGGCGUAAAGCGUCCGCAGGUGGCGAUUCAAGUCUGCUGUCAAAGCACGGGGCUUAACUCCGUUAAGGCAGUGGAAACUGAAUAGCUAGAGUGCCGUAGGGGUAGAGGGAAUUCCUGGUGUAGCGGUGAAAUGCGUAGAGAUCGGGAAGAACAUCGGUGGCGAAAGCGCUCUACUGGACGGCAACUGACACUCAGGGACGAAAGCUAGGGGAGCGAAUGGGAUUAGAUACCCCAGUAGUCCUAGCUGUAAACGAUGGAUACUAGGUGUAGCUUGUAUCGACCCGAGCUGUGCCGAAGCUAACGCGUUAAGUAUCCCGCCUGGGGAGUACGCACGCAAGUGUGAAACUCAAAGGAAUUGACGGGGGCCCGCACAAAGCGGUGGAGUAUGUGGUUUAAUUCGAUGCAACGCGAAGAACCUUACCAGGGCUUGACAUGUCCGGAAUCCCGGUGAAAGCUGGGAGUGCCUUCGGGAGCCGGAACAC